UCUGUUCUUCUAUUUCUAUAUCAACUUUAAAUAUUCAUUCUCUGCAAUUGUUUUUGUUUAAAUGGAAUUCCACCUUCGACACUUCUAAAAUUCCACACCCAACUCACUUACAGUGUGACUAAUUCAAUGUUUGAUUUCAGCUAAUUAGACCGACUUCACAGUCAUUUUGUUUACCCCGAAAUUAACCCAAUCGAUCCGGCUGACAUCUCAUUAAAGUUCUUGGGAGGAACACCUGCGCAAAAACGGCGAACCGAGCGAAACUCGAACCGACCUCCAAUUGGAUCUGUUCGAAUCAAUUAUGCAAACGGCAGAGUGUGAAAAAUCCCUUGCCCUUGUCCAUCACGGCUAAACACGUUCUGUGGACUAGACCUGGCCGAAUGAUUGAGUAUUUGUGCCCAAAAGAGCAAAUACAAUUUGCACGAUUUUUUCUGUAAUUCGAGCGCGGCCAACAUCGAGAUACGUAUCUGCAUGUGUUUGGGCAUUUGUAUCUGUAUCUGGUUUAUCUGCGGCGCACACACUCCAGAUACAAAUGUAUCCGCCGGCCGUGAUGGCCACGCUGCUGACUCAAUAUGCCUAACCGAGGGCCUCCACUGCUGUUUGCCUUGUAUUGGGAGAUCUUUUAUACCCUCUUGUGGAGAUCUUUUAUUUGCGAGUGAAAAUAUUACGAACUGUUAAUUGGAUUUUCUGUAGGGCAAAUCAUGUACUAUAGAGUUGAAAAUAUAUCUAAAAUAUUUCAAAAAUUCACUUUCAAUAGUGGUCAAAAUAAAAUCAACCAGGAGUCCAGAACCUCACAAAUUUAUCUUAGCAAUAUAAGCACCAAAUUAAUAUAUCAGCAAUUUAAAAUUAUUCCUAUAUUUAAAGCAGUAAACA